rnacentral:misc_RNA from 1 species
UUAAGUGCUCUGAUUCUCUUAUCGAGGUCAUUGGAAGGAAACUGUGGAUCAUCAAUUGGCUCAGAAGAAGCGCUUUCAGUUUUCGGAUUUGUAGAAACAGCAAGUUCGUUCAUCUGGGAACUUAAUGACUGGACAGGUUUCGUCUCCGACCUAUUAUCUACAUAUGAUUCCUUUGCUUCAGUGAUCUCUCCAACAACCACUUCUUCCAAGACUUUAUCCUUUUCAUGAGCCGCCUGCAGUCGCUUCUCUUUCUUUCUCUCAUUCCGCUUAGCUGACUUCGUCUUUGAUUUUACAUCUGUUGGAGGAUCAUAACCAGGAGGUCCAUCAUGGGACGACAUCUCCUUUUUCCACAGAGCCCCUUUGGACUGGUAAAUGGCGACUUCUUCCUG